AUUGAACGCUGGCGGCAGGCCUAACACAUGCAAGUCGAGCGAGCGGCGGACGGGUGAGUAAUGUAUGGGGACUGCCCGAUAGAGGGGGAUAACUACUGGAAACGGUGGUUAAUACCGCAUACUAUCGGAUAACCCAUAUGGGAUUAGCUAGUAGGUGGGGUAAAGGCUCACCUAGGCGACGAUCUCUGGCUGGUCUGAGAGGAUGAUCAGCCACACGUGGACUGGGACACGGCCCAGACUCCUACGGAGGAGGCAGUGGGGAACAUUGCAAAAUGGGCGCAAGCCUGAUGCACCAAGCCCGCGUGGAUGAAGCAGGCCUUAGGGUGGUAAAGUACGUUCAGCGGGGAGGCGUUACCCGCAGAGGAAGCAACGGCUAACUCCGUGCCAGCAGCCGCGGUAAUUC
rnacentral:rRNA from 1 species